rnacentral:rRNA from 1 species
AACGAACGCUGGCGGCAUGCCUAACACAUGCAAGUCGAACGAGACCUUCGGGUCUAGUGGCGCACGGGUGCGUAACGCGUGGGAAUCUGCCCUUGGGUUCGGAAUAACAGUGAGAAAUUACUGCUAAUACCGGAUGAUGACGAAAGUCCAAAGAUUUAUCACCCAAGGAUGUGCCCGCGUAGGAUUAGCUAGUUGGUAAG